GUUGUGAGGUUAAGUGACUAAGCGUACACGGUGGAUGCCUAGGCAGUCAGAGGCGAUGAAGGGCGUGCUAAUCUGCGAAAAGCGUCGGUAAGGUGAUAUGAACCGUUACAACCGGCGAUACCCGAAUGGGGAAACCCAGUGUGUUUCGACACAUUAUCAUGUCAUGAAUACAUAGUGGCAUGAGGCGAACCGGGGGAACUGAAACAUCUAAGUACCCCGAGGAAAAGAAAUCAACCGAGAUUCCCCCAGUAGCGGCGAGCGAACGGGGAGGAGCCCAGAACCUGAAUCGGCUUGUGUGUUAGUGGAAG
rnacentral:rRNA from 1 species